rnacentral:rRNA from 1 species
UGGGGAAUAUUGCACAAUGGGCGCAAGCCUGAUGCAGCCAUGCCGCGUGUAUGAAGAAGGCCUUCGGGUUGUAAAGUACUUUCAGCGGGGAGGAGGGGAGUAAAGUUAAUACCUUUGCUCAUUGACGUUACCCGCAGAAGAAGCACCGGCUAACUCCGUGCCAGCAGCCGCGGUAAUACGGAGGGUGCAAGCGUUAAUCGGAAUUACUGGGCGUAAAGCGCACGCAGGCGGUUUGUUAAGUCAGAUGUGAAAUCCCCGGGCUUAACCCGGGAAUUGCAUCUGAUACUGGUCAGCUAGAGUCUUGUAGAGGGGGGUAGAAUUCCAUGUGUAGCGGUGAAAUGCGUAGAGAUGUGGGGGAAUACCGGUGGCGAAGGCGGCCCCCUGGACAAAGACUGACGCUCAGGUGCGAAAGCGUGGGGAGCAAACAGG